rnacentral:rRNA from 1 species
CUUGUAGACUCCUACGGGAGGCAGCAGUGGGGAAUAUUGCACAAUGGGCGCAAGCCUGAUGCAGCCAUGCCGCGUGUGUGAAGAAGGCCUUCGGGUUGUAAAGCACUUUCAGUCGUGAGGAAGGCGGGUACGUUAAUAGCGUAUUCGUUUGACGUUAGCGACAGAAGAAGCACCGGCUAACUCCGUGCCAGCAGCCGCGGUAAUACGGAGGGUGCGAGCGUUAAUCGGAAUUACUGGGCGUAAAGCGCAUGCAGGUGGUUUGUUAAGUCAGAUGUGAAAGCCCCGGGGCUCAACCUCGGAAUAGCAUUUGAAACUGGCAGACUAGAGUACUGUAGAGGGGGUAGAAUUUCAGGUGUAGCGGUGAAAUGCGUAGAGAUCUGAAGGAAUACCGGUGGCGAAGGCGGCCCCCUGGACAGAUACUGACACUCAGAUGCGAAAGCGUGGGGAGCAAACAGGAUUAGAUACCCUGGUAG